AGUGUAGUACACACUACUACAAGAUUCAACUUCACUUCACUUCAUUUUAACUUCAGGCUAGCCUACUUUUAAACGAACGCCACAUUAAAAAAAUCUGACAAUUUAGGGUAUUAAUAUAAAAACUUAUUUAUGCCAUGGUUUAAUCAACAAACGCGUCAUUCCGUUGAGCACAGUUGUGGGUGCAUUGCUUUUGUUUGGUGUGAUAAUUUUAUACGUAGAACUUUGUGUGAUAAAUUAUGAGUUAUUCAAGGAGCCUGACACUCAAUGAAACUAUUGAGGAAUUGGAAAAAGGUUAUGAUCAACCUAUACCCGACAUUAUCACUAUUUUACCACCCGAAAAUAGUAAUGCUGACGGAACAGAUGAAGAUUCUGGUGAUGAAAAUGUCGUGUUGAUCCACAACUUGCCAGGAUAGUAGAUUCAUUUUCGUGAGUUAUCUAGUGAUAGUGACAGUGAUGACGAGCUAACAUUGGCUCAAUUGUCUAACCGAAGGCGACUUCGUCAAGAUGAGAUAAGUACUUCCCAACUAGAUUCUCCGACAAUAUGUCUUCGCCAGUCCCAUCUCCUUCUGGCUUUCAAAAAAACAGUUGUACCAAAAAAUAAGCUGUAUAAAUGGAUUGCAUGAGACAUACCUGCAAACUAAGGUAUGGCAAAAAGCAGGAAGCUAUAAUGAAUAAAGAUCCUAUGUAUUUUUUCAAUUGUUUAUGCGAUGAUGAGAUUACUGGGCGCUAGUGCGAUUGGCAGUGCGCUGAUGUUCUUCGCUAACUCGGAAGCACAUCUAUCCCAUUCAUCGAUGUACUACGUGUAAGAGGUUUGAAAGCUACUGGUACUAUUAGGGAAAAUUGGUUGUCCCAAUGUUACUCUCCCGUCAAAAGGAAAUGAAGAAAAGAGAUCGUGGAGCCUACAAGCACAUGUCCACAAGAAAUGAACAAAUUUUAAUUUGUAAAUGGAAUGACAACAGCCGUAGUACCUGUUUCAUCGAUUGCCAGGAAAGUGCGAUCCACCCAUAGAAAAAUAAAAAGAUACAUACCUAAGUAUCGAUCAACCAGCCCUUAUAAGAUUUUUAAUGAAAACAUGGGAGGAGUAGACAGGUGUGAUAAAAAUGUAGCAUUGUAUUGAACUUGUAUACGCGGAAAAAAUGGUAUUUUUCACUAAUUUCUCACUGUUUAGUAUGACCAUAUUUCUUUUAUCUAUGAAUAAGAUUCAGGUAUUAACUGGCCCAAAAUAUGACCCUUCAUAACGCUUGGCUUGACUAUUACGACUGGUUUACUUGAAACACAUUAAAAAAAGUGUGAAUCUGAAAGUUGGUCGCAAGUGUCAGAAUUUUGGAGAAAUUUUGAGGUAUGGUGAUAUUUUAUCAUACCUCAUUGGACAUUAUUAUUAAAUAUAAGGAAAGUAGAUUACAAUGUGCCACAAGAAAGCAAUUUUUUUUUGCAAAAUGUGUUAAAGUACAUUGCAUUGCUAAACAAUGUUUUGAAAAUUAUCAUACGCUCGAUAUAUAAAUAGUGUAUUUAAGUUAAUAUCACCUAUAUGUAACCAAUAAAUAUAUGUCAUUAUAUUAGACAUAUAUUUUCUAGCAUAAAACUGUAAAGCAAGCCUCAAAGGACCGGGCUACGGCCCGUAAAA